UGCGGCUUGUGUCUGAAGCUUUCGGUC
rnacentral:piRNA from 1 species